rnacentral:rRNA from 1 species
AACGAACGCUGGCGGCAGGCUUAACACAUGCAAGUCGAGCGCCCCGCAAGGGGAGCGGCAGACGGGUGAGUAACGCGUGGGAAUCUACCCAUCUCUACAGAAUAACGCAUGGAAACGUGUGCUAAUACCGUAUACGUCCUUCGGGAGAAAGAUUUAUCGGAGAUGGAUGAGCCCGCGUUGGAUUAGCUAGUUGGUGGGGUAAAGGCCAACCAAGGCGACGAUCCAUAGCUGGUCUGAGAGGAUGAUCAGCCACACUGGGACUGAGACACGGCCCAGACUCCUACGGGAGGCAGCAGUGGGGAAUAUUGGACAAUGGGCGCAAGCCUGAUCCAGCCAUGCCGCGUGAGUGAUGAAGGCCCUAGGGUUGUAAAGCUCUUUCACCGGUGAAGAUAAUGACGGUAACCGGAGAAGAAGCCCCGGCUAACUUCGUGCCAGCCGCCGCAGUAACAC